rnacentral:rRNA from 1 species
UGCCAGCCGCCGCGGUAAUACGAAGGGUGCUAGCGUUGUUCGGAAUUACUGGGCGUAAAGAGCGCGUAGGUUGGGUGAUAAGUCAGGCGUGAAAUUCCGAUACUCAAUAUCGGAGCUGCACUUGAAACUGUCACUCUAGAGGAUAGGCGGAGAAAGCGGAAUUCCGUAUGUAGCGGUGGAAUGCGUAGAUAUACGGAAGAACACCCGUGGCGAAAGCGGCUUUCUAGCUUACUCCUGACACUGAGGCGCGAAAGCGUGGGGAGCGAACAGGAUUAGAUA